AAAGCAUAUAAGAGGUGAUUG
rnacentral:misc_RNA from 1 species